UACGAGGGGGGCGAGCGUUGUUCGGAAUUAUUGGGCGUAAAGGGUGCGUAGGCGGUUUGGUAAGUCUUAUGUGAAAUCUAUGGGCUCAACUCAUAGUCUGCAUAAGAAACUGCCGGGCUUGGGUAUGGGAGAGGUGAGUGGAAUUCCUGGUGUAGCGGUGAAAUGCGUAGAUAUCAGGAGGAACACCUGUGGCGAAAGCGGCUCACUGGACCAUAACUGACGCUGAUGCACGAAAGCUAGGGGAGCAAACAGG
rnacentral:rRNA from 1 species